AUGCAAGUUAUGAUUCUGGUGGUGCAUAGAAAAAGAUGGGCGUUAGGCCCAUGGGAUUCAGAUCCACAAACAGUUUUUUUUUUCUGUUUGCAAGGCCAAGGUUGUGCCAAAAAAGGAAUGAGCCUAUGGAAUGGUAGUACUCAGCACAUUAACCUACAACAUCGAUCCAUCACCAAAUUAUCCAGUUAG